rnacentral:rRNA from 1 species
UACGAAGGGGGGCUAGCGUUGUUCGGAAUUACUGGGCGUAAAGCGCGCGCAGGCGGUCUUCCAAGUCAGUGGUGAAAGCCCGGAGCUCAACUCCGGAACUGCCAUUGAAACUGUGAGACUUGAGGAUGAGAGAGGUGAGUGGAAUUCCCAGUGUAGAGGUGAAAUUCGUAGAUAUUGGGAAGAACACCGGUGGCGAAGGCGGCUCACUGGCUCAUUUCUGACGCUCAGGCGCGACAGCGUGGGGAUCAAACAGG